GACGAACGCUGGCGGCGUGCUUAACACAUGCAAGUCGAACGGAAAGGCCCUGCUUUUGUGGGGUGCUCGAGUGGCGAACGGGUGAGUAACACGUGAGUAACCUGCCCUUGACUUUGGGAUAACUUCAGGAAACUGGGGCUAAUACCGGAUAGGAGCUCCUGCUGCAUGGUGGGGGUUGGAAAGUUUCGGCGGUUGGGGAUGGACUCGCGGCUUAUCAGCUUGUUGGUGGGGUAGUGGCUUACCAAGGCUUUGACGGGUAGCCGGCCUGAGAGGGUGACCGGCCACAUUGGGACUGAGAUACGGCCCAGACUCCUACGGGAGGCAGCAGUGGGGAAUAUUGCACAAUGGGCGGAAGCCUGAUGCAGCAACGCCGCGUGCGGGAUGACGGCCUUCGGGUUGUAAACCGCUUUCGCCUGUGACGAAGCGUGAGUGACGGUAAUGGGUAAAGAAGCACCGGCUAACUACGUGCCAGCAGCCGCGGUGAUACGUAGGGUGCGAGCGUUGUCCGGAUUUAUUGGGCGUAAAGGGCUCGUAGGUGGUUGAUCGCGUCGGAAGUGUAAUCUUGGGGCUUAACCCUGAGCGUGCUUUCGAUACGGGUUGACUUGAGGAAGGUAGGGGAGAAUGGAAUUCCUGGUGGAGCGGUGGAAUGCGCAGAUAUCAGGAGGGACACCAGUGGCGAAGGCGGUUCUCUGGGCCUUUCCUGACGCUGAGGAGCGAAAGCGUGGGGAGCGAACAGGCUUAGAUACCCUGGUAGUCCACGCUGUAAACGGUGGGUACUAGGUGUGGGGUCCAUUCCACGGGUUCCGUGCCGUAGCUAACGCUUUAAGUACCCCGCCUGGGGAGUACGGCCGCAAGGCUAAAACUCAAAGGAAUUGACGGGGCCCCGCACAAGCGGCGGAGCAUGCGGAUUAAUUCGAUGCAACGCGUAGAACCUUACCUGGGUUUGACAUGGAUCGGGAGUGCUCAGAGAUGGGUGUGCCUCUUUUGGGGUCGGUUCACAGGUGGUGCAUGGCUGUCGUCAGCUCGUGUCGUGAGAUGUUGGGUUAAGUCCCGCAACGAGCGCAACCCUUGUUCACUGUUGCCAGCACGUUAUGGUGGGGACUCAGUGGAGACCGCCGGGGUCAACUCGGAGGAAGGUGGGGAUGACGUCAAGUCAUCAUGCCCCUUAUGUCCAGGGCUUCACGCAUGCUACAAUGGCUGGUACAGAGAGUGGCGAGCCUGUGAGGGUGAGCGAAUCUCGGAAAGCCGGUCUCAGUUCGGAUUGGGGUCUGCAACUCGACCUCAUGAAGUCGGAGUCGCUAGUAAUCGCAGAUCAGCAACGCUGCGGUGAAUACGUUCCCGGG
rnacentral:rRNA from 1 species